GUAGGUGGUUUGCCUGUCGGAUUCCCCCGCAGCGACUCUAAAGAACUGCGCCAGUCGGGCUCCAUCUCGGAGCCUGGCGACGCCAUCAGUCUGGCUGGGAGCCCCCUAUGCGGGGGGCCACCAGCAGCUCCUUCGGGAGUCCACAGAUCAAACGAUGAGCGGCCGCUUCACUGCGGUUCAGAUAUGACCGGCCCCAGCCUUCAUCGGCCGGUGACUUCUUGCGGAACCUGCGGAAGGAUCAUUAAUGAGA
rnacentral:misc_RNA from 1 species